ACGAACGCUGGCGGCGUGCCUAAUACAUGCAAGUCGAGCGGACAGAAGGGAGCUUGCUCCCGGAUGUUAGCGGCGGACGGGUGAGUAACACGUGGGUAACCUGCCUGUAAGACUGGGAUAACUCCGGGAAACCGGAGCUAAUACCGGAUAGUUCCUUGAACCGCAUGGUUCAAGGAUGAAAGACGGUUUCGGCUGUCACUUACAGAUGGACCCGCGGCGCAUUAGCUAGUUGGUGAGGUAACGGCUCACCAAGGCGACGAUGCGUAGCCGACCUGAGAGGGUGAUCGGCCACACUGGGACUGAGACACGGCCCAGACUCCUACGGGAGGCAGCAGUAGGGAAUCUUCCGCAAUGGACGAAAGUCUGACGGAGCAACGCCGCGUGAGUGAUGAAGGUUUUCGGAUCGUAAAGCUCUGUUGUUAGGGAAGAACAAGUGCAAGAGUAACUGCUUGCACCUUGACGGUACCUAACCAGAAAGCCACGGCUAACUACGUGCCAGCAGCCGCGGUAAUACGUAGGUGGCAAGCGUUGUCCGGAAUUAUUGGGCGUAAAGGGCUCGCAGGCGGUUUCUUAAGUCUGAUGUGAAAGCCCCCGGCUCAACCGGGGAGGGUCAUUGGAAACUGGGAAACUUGAGUGCAGAAGAGGAGAGUGGAAUUCCACGUGUAGCGGUGAAAUGCGUAGAGAUGUGGAGGAACACCAGUGGCGAAGGCGACUCUCUGGUCUGUAACUGACGCUGAGGAGCGAAAGCGUGGGGAGCGAACAGGAUUAGAUACCCUGGUAGUCCACGCCGUAAACGAUGAGUGCUAAGUGUUAGGGGGUUUCCGCCCCUUAGUGCUGCAGCUAACGCAUUAAGCACUCCGCCUGGGGAGUACGGUCGCAAGACUGAAACUCAAAGGAAUUGACGGGGGCCCGCACAAGCGGUGGAGCAUGUGGUUUAAUUCGAAGCAACGCGAAGAACCUUACCAGGUCUUGACAUCCUCUGACAACCCUAGAGAUAGGGCUUUCCCUUCGGGGACAGAGUGACAGGUGGUGCAUGGUUGUC
rnacentral:rRNA from 1 species